CACAGUGACUUCUGGAGGGACAUUUGGGCCUGCCAAUUCCCCCCUCCCCAGUGAGAGUAGCGUCACUUGUUGGGGUGUCGGAAUCCAAGGAUCCUCCAGCUCAUUUCCCUGCUUCUGGCCCAGAGCGCCUCAGCGCUUCCCAACACAGCAGUGGGAAUGUUUUGACUCUGAAAUUCAACCAUGCCACACCUCCCCUCAGACUCACUUGACUAAAAGCCACAGCCCUUCUAAGCAUCUCGGAGCCCUCUGCCAGGAAGCUCUGCCACAUCACAGGCUAGUGUCCCCUUGUCACCAGCCCCCAGCCAGAGCCCCUCCCCGUCCCGUUCCUCUAUCCUCCUGCCACAGGGCUCUCAAAGUCAGGUGAUCUGCCCCCAGGUAGACUCGUGUCUCUCAUCCUUACCUCUUCUCAGGGUUUUGCUCAGCUGUGUCACCUUCUCAGUGAGGCUUCUGUGAGUGUUCUCCCCUCCCGAGUUCCCCUUGUGGGGCAGCAGAAAUGAAUCUGACUAGUAUCCAUGAGGCUGCGGGUUCGAUCCCUGGCCUCCCUCAGUGGGUUAAGGAUCCGUCAUUGCUGUGAGCUGUGGUGUAGGUCGUAGACGUGGCUCAGCUAUGGGGUAGGCUGGCAGCUACAGCUCUGAUUCGACCCCUAGCCCGGGAACUUCCAUAUACCAUGGGUGUGGCCCUAAAAAGCAAAAAUAAAAAACAAAUUAAUUAGUUAAAUAAAUAAAAUCACCCCUCCCACUCAACCCUCCCCAGCACUCCUUUCCCCUGCCCUCUUGCAAUAUGGAGAUGACCGUGAGCCUGGACCCUGGGGUCAUAGUGCCCCAGGGAGCCUUGGCUCUUGGGCUUCCCAGAGGCAUGACCCUGGGUGGGUUGGUCCACCUCUUAAAGCCUCAGUUUUUUCAUCCCGGAAACGGGGAUAUGCUAAUAGGGUUCACAUAUGUGAAGUGCUUCGAACACUUAGAAAUUCCCAACACGAGGUAGCGGUCAUUAUUUCAUAGCAUGUACUACCUCUGGACACGCCCUGCACUCACUAAUUUAUCUGCCCACCGGUCCUUCUCAUCGCCUGAGAAUGUUAGCUCCACAAGGCAAGGAUUUUUGUUUGCUGUUCUUCAUCAUAUCCCCAGUGGCUCGAUGGGACCUCGAAUACAGUAGGUUCUCAAUAGAUAUUUGGUGAAUAAAUAUUUUCUUUGUUCUCCUUUCUUAAAAAUGAUCUUUAUUUUUUCCAUUAUAGCUGGUUUACAGUGUUCUGUCAAUUUUCUACUGUACAGCAAAGUGACCCAGUCACACAUACAUACAUAUAUGUAUGUAUAUAUAUAUAUAUAUACAUACACACACACACACACACACACACACAUACACACACAUGCAUUCUUUUUCUCACUUUAUCCUCCAUCAUGCUCCAUCACAAGUGACUAGAUAUAGUUCCCAGUGCUAUAUAGUAGGAUCUCAUUGCUUCUCCAUUCCAAAGGCAAUAGUUUGCAACUAUUAACCGCAGAUUCCCAGUCCAUCCCUCCCCCUCCCCCUUGGCAACCCCAAGUCUUUUUUCCAAGUCCAUGAGUUUCUUUUCUGUGGCAAGGUUCAUUUGUGCCAUAUAUUAGAUUCCAGAUAGAAAUGAUAUCAUAUGGUAUUUGUCUUUCUCUUUCUGACUUACUUCACUUAGUAUGAGAGUCUCUAGUUCCAUCCAUGUUGCUGCAAAUGGCAUGAUUUUGUUCUUUUUUAUGGCUGAGUAGUAUUCCAUUGUGUAUAUGUACCACAUCUUCUUAAUCCAUUCAUUGGUCAGUGGACGUUUAGUUUGUUUCCAUGUCUUGGAUAUUGUGAAUAGUGCUGCAGUGAACAUGAGGGUACAUGCAUCUUUUUCAAGGAAAGUUUUGUCAUGAUAUAUGCCCAGGAGUGGGUCAUAUGGUAGUUCUGUAUUUCGUUUUCUGAGGAACUUCCAUACUGAUCUCUGUAGUGGUUGUGCCUGUUCUCCUUUUUGUGUCUGGUUUGCUUCGCCUGGGCCUCAGGAGGAAUAGAAUGCACAAGCUGGCAGAGUCAGCGGGUUCUGUGUCAGGACACUGGCUAUAUGUCCCAUUAUUUAGUGACUAUUUCUGUCCUCAGGCCUAGAAGAAACCAGCUCUUCUCUACUGGCUCCUUCCCUCAGCUGUCUGUGCAGCUCUGCAUCUCCCGCUCAGCUUUCCUUCCAUCCUCAGGUCCAUUCUGGGCCAUGCCCCCUUCCCAGCAGUAGGGGGUCGCUCCCAUAUGAUCUCUCGCUCCCUGGGAUCCUGGCCUCAGCGGGGCACCUGCAAGAGUGUCAGCAUCCCCGGCUGCUAGGCCCAGACCAGGAGAGGCUGACAUUCUGAUGGGGAUGUCCCAAGGCAGCGUCCAGUUUCCCCCUGGUCAGUAGUAGAUGAGAACGAUAGUGUCCAUCCCACCUUGGAAAAUUCUGGACACAUAUAAUCCUUCUACUUCUCUGUCAAGACUGUAGCUCAGCCCAGUAAGGCAGGGAUUUUGCCAUCAGACUAACUAGCCAUUGCAAUGCCACUCCAUCUCUGGGGGCUUUCUGGUCACCCAACUGCCUCAAGCCUCUGAAAACGUGAUUCUGUGUGUGAUGCAAAAGGCCCUUUGCUUUCAGUUCUGGCCUUUUGAUGAGCUGGUCCACGAACUUCCCAAAUGCUGUAUCUCCAUCCCCAGGGCUCCCCAGUGGCUCAGGGAAACAGUGGACCUGGAUGCCGUGGACCCGCGGUCAGGGCAGAAGGAGCUUUUGGAUCUGUGAUUCCCUUUGUUAUAGACACUGGGUCCUGCCUUGUUCACUAAGGGCCACAGAGUUGACACACAUCAAAAGACAGCUUUACCCCCGUGGGAGGGUUCAGUACCUGGUUAAGGGACCAUCAUUCAUGCUCCGCUGAAGUCCUUGUAAACAUAUUUUGUCAGAGACACUGGCACCUCCCAAGACUUCAUUUUCUCAGCUUUCUUCGUGAGAUGCUGACAGGGGACAGGGGACACAGGGUCCACAGAGGCGUCCAAUCAAACUGAAAACCCUAAGGAGGAUGCUUCUCUCUUUUCCUUAUUCUUCUCUGCCCUCCUCGCCCCUAACACAGCACAGAGGACCCCGGACCCACAUGGUCUGAACACCCAGGGCAGCGGGCUGGGGUUUGGGGGGGGGGAGGGGGCAGGGAGAAGAACAUUCUCUCUGCUCUCAGCCUCGGCCCGGUCAUGGGGAGGGCCCGUGGGACCCGCAGUGGCAAUUAGCCAGAUCCCGUCUCUGACUCGACUCUGCCCAGCCUUGGCUGGCACGCAGAAGAGAUGGGAGGGAAUGGAGUAGCCUCAGAAGGAGGACCUGAGAGCGGGGCCUGGAGCUCCUUGACCUGGAAGGGAAGCUUCGAAGAUCCCAGCAGGGAACAGAGGGAACAGAGGCAGAAGUCACAAGUAGGAGAGCAGUGACUUAACUCUUUAGCCCUUUGGGAUCGGCUGUUAUGUCCAGGGUCCCAGCAAACCUGGGAUCUGAGCCAGUGGGGCAAACAUCACAAACUAGUCGGCAUUUCAGAUGGCAGCCUGGGCAAGGGGCGGAAGGAAUCAUGAGAUCUUCCUUUAAACAGUAGCUGCUGCAGGGGGAGGGGGCAGGGUGCUUCAUUUGCUAUUCAUUUGUUGGGGGGGGGGUGUUCCUGAGAUAGUAACACGCUCCCCAGGGGCUGCCCUGCUCAGGGAAGAGGCAGAGAUUUGCAGGGACCUCCGAAGGGAAAUAGGAAGCCUGACUAUUUCGAUGAUUUUCUACUGCUGCCUUCCUCUUUUGGAAAUGAGGUGCCUUUGACUUAUUUAUCAUUUUUGCUCAUAAAACUGUAACUCUCAUGAUUACAUUGCCUCAGGGCACAAGUACGAAACGUGAAAGUUCUGUUCAAGCCUGUAAGACAGAGCAGCGGCAGCUCUCAGCCCAGAUUAACGGGUCUACUGUUCUCCGCGUCUUACGGAGGGAGGUCACCCGUGGUGUCCCGCCAUCCAGGCCUGUGCUGAGCAAAAGCAGAAUUUCCACGAAAAACACCUUUCAACACCAGUUGGAGAGCAGCUUAACUUUAGCUGGUGGAUGUGUGCAGAGCAGCGGUUACUUGUGUGACAGCGUCAUGGUGACUGGUGAACGUGGCUAAUGUCCCCAUCGGCCACCCUCUCCAUGUCCUGAUCUAUUUAGCGAGACACUCGGUGUCUGUAAGAGCCAGUUACCAAAGCCAUCAGAGCGAAUUCUUCAAGCCUACUGGGAACUCAUCUUCAGUACCAUCCUCCUUUUUUGUGUGGUUCCAAAUAGUCAAGCCCUGAUUUUACCAUGUUUCAAGCCACGGGCUAAGGAGAGGGGUGACUGGGUGGGUGAGCAUGGCUCCAGCUGGUUUAUUCCUCCGAGGGUGAAAACCGCAGCCCUCCCCAAUCCCAUGCCUCCUGCUCGGUGCUUCCAAAUCCCCCAGUGUCCCCCCCACCCCCCACUUCCCCCCUGCCCUUAACACCAGCCUUUCAUUGUACUCCUUGCACUGAGAGGGGAGAGGACAGCUUACAUUUGUCUGUUGACAUCACACUCUUAGCAGGUCCCAUGGUGGCUCAGCAGGUUGAGAACCCAACUAGUAUCCAUGAGGAUGCAGGUUCGAUCCCUGGCCUCACUCAGUGGGUUAAGGAUCCAGCAUUGCUGUGAGCUGUGGUUUAGGUCACAGAUGCAGCUUGGGUCUGACCUUGCUGUGGCUGUGGUGUAGACCCCCCAGCCUGAGAACCUCCAUAUGCCGCAGGUGCGCCCGUAAAAAGACAAAGAAAACCACACUCCAGUCACCCAGAGAGACUCUUUUUUUUCUAUCACGCUCCCCCCGCAAAUCUCUGUACCCUUUCCCUCUUGGCAUAGCAGCCAGAGUAGAACAAAGCCAAGGCCAAGCCGACAGACUGGCACCGAACAAGAAGGGCAGCGGGGAUGUCCGGGACCCAGCUCCAAAAUGCCCGCAGCUUCUUCCGGAGACAGAUUGACUCUUGGUCCUCUGCGCUUUGAGGUCCUGGGUGUGUCCUACCAGCCACAGGGCCCCUUCCGCCACCCCACCCUGGAGAGGAGGGGGAGUGGAAGGCAGGUAGAGCCGGGGGGGCCCCAAGCCAGAGCCGUGUUCUGGGUCAGGCAGGGAGUGCGGCUGUCAGCCACGGCAGUGGAGGACCCAGGGCCGCUCCGCAGGCAUCCAAGGAGAAUGUCUUUGGACAUUUUCAAAUGUCAGGAAAUAGCAGCAGGGAAUUAGAAUGCCAGAAUUACCGUCUUGGUUGUAUGUUCUGAGGGAAGAGCCAUGUCAUAACAAACUCUUGAUCCUCAGGCGUUGAAGUUCUGCAGUUAUUAUGUACUUUUCUCAUCACAGCUGUGUGCUCCGGACCGACUCGGAAAAGAGCCAGACUCCCAUCCCUUUGAAAAAUUGGGUGUUGGACCAUAGCCUUUUGGGAAAGAAGACAUUUUCCUCUACCUUUCCAGAGUCUUCUGGCUGGUCUGAAAAUUAACCCGACAUGAGACACAUUAACGGGAGAAAAUCAAACAAAUGCUUAAUAACAUGUGGUCAUGGGAGAGACCCAGGAAAACCAACCCACUGAAGUGACUGAAACUUUCACCCUAAAUACCAUCUUCAGAGAAAGACAAAAAAGGACGUUGAAGGCUGGGGUUUAGGACUUCAGAGAGGAGGAGGUGUUUCCCUCUGUCUGCACACCUUGUUCAUACCAUAGUGAUAUGUGAUGAUAGGUCCCUUCCUGGUCCAGGUCCUUUAUCUAAAUUCUUUUAGGUGGUUAUGGGGGGAGAUCAGAAGUUCUUCCUGAGUCUUUUGAGCCUUGGGUUUUUUUCAGCUUGAAAUAAUCCACAUGCCAAAGAGACAUUUGGGGUUUUCCAGUUAUCACUGCACCAGGCACGAUGAGCAGCGAAGUCUCCAGUGACAUCUUCUGUGAGGCAGUGUGUGAGGUCUUGCAUGGGGACCAGCACAAGUGCUGGGAAGUUUUUGGAGAUGAUGAAGCUUCGGAUCAGCCUGAAGAACCAUGACCCUCAGAAGGACACAUGCUUCUUGGACAUCGUCAAGUGUAUGUCUCCUCCCUGCCUCAAGGUCUCCGGGAGUGUGUUCUGGGAGACCAGCAGCAUGGUGACGAGGUCAGGGAUGUGCAUAUCCCGCACAGGGACAUCAAGGCACUGAGGAAACUCAACAAGAAUAAGAAACUGGGGUGUUCCCAUCAUGGCUCAGCAGUAAUGUACCUGACUAGUAUCCAUGAGGUUGCAAGUUCGAUCCCUGGCCUCACUCAGUGGGUUAAGUAUCCAGCGUUGCCACAAGCUGCAGCAUUGCCAAAGAUGUGGCUCAGAUCUGGCAUUGUUGUGGCUGUAGUGUAGGCCCACCACUGCAAGUCUGGUUCGGCCCCUAGCCUGGGAACUUCCAUAUGCAGGCCUAAAAAGCAAAAGAAAGAAA
rnacentral:lncRNA from 1 species